rnacentral:lncRNA from 1 species
AGAAUUGCAUAGUCACUUUCUUUUUUCGACCGAUCAUUGACUGAAGGUCUAGAUACCUCUCCGUCUCCAACGGCUGGUGAACUGUCAAAAUCGUCGACAUCGUUGUUUUCAACAUAGGAUCCAUCUCUCUCGAAUAAAAGAUAUCCGUUUUUUCAUAAUUUAUCACCUGUCUUGAUGUCGCCGCAUAUGUAUCGAAAACUCUCCACAAUGCUCGUACAUUCGAGAUUCCCGCAAGAAAAAAGAAAAAAAUAUCAUCAACAAAAAAUAAAUGCGUAACCCACAGUGCUCCCCUGGUCACAUACAGUCCCUGCAACCGUCCUCUCUACCCCUCCCGCUUUAAU